rnacentral:rRNA from 1 species
GAGUUUGAUCAUGGCUCAGAACGUACGCUGGCGGCACGCCUAACACAUGCAAGUCGGACGAAGUAGCAAUACUUAGUGGCAGACGGGUGAGUAACAUGUAGGUAUCUGCCCUUUGGCCUGGAAUAACACGAGGAAACUUGUGCUAAUACCGGAUAAGUCUUUACGGAGAAAGCUUUAUGCACCAUUGGAUGAGCCUGCACUUGAUUAGUUUGUUGGUAGGGUAAUGGCCUACCAAGACUGUGAUCAAUAGCUGAUUUGAGAGGAUGAUCAGCCACAUUGGGACUGAGACACGGCCCAAACUCCUACGGGAGGCAGCAGUGGGGAAUCUUGCACAAUGGAGGAAACUCUGAUGCAGCGAUGCCGCGUGAGUGAAGAAGGCCUUUGGGUUGUAAAGCUCUUUCGUCGGGGAAGAAAAUGACUGUACCCGAAUAAGAAGGUCCGGCUAACUUCGUGCCAGCAGCCGCGGUAAUACGAAGGGACCUAGCGUAGUUCGGAAUUACUGGGCUUAAAGAGUUCGUAGGUGGUUGAAAAAGUUGGUGGUGAAAUCCCAGAGCUUAACUCUGGAACUGCCAUCAAAACUUUUCAGCUAGAGUAUGAUAGAGGAAAGCAGAAUUUCUAGUGUAGAGGUGAAAUUCGUAGAUAUUAGAAAGAAUACCAAUUGCGAAGGCAGCUUUCUGGAUCACUACUGACGCUGAGGAACGAAAGCAUGGGUAGCGAAGAGGAUUAGAUACCCUCGUAGUCCAUGCCGUAAACGAUGUGUGUUAGACGUUGGAAAUUUAUUUUCAGUGUCGCAGCGAAAGCGAUAAACACACCGCCUGGGGAGUACGACCGCAAGGUUAAAACUCAAAUGAAUUGACGGGGACCCGCACAAGUAGUGGAGCAUGUGGUUUAAUUCGAAGAUACGCGCAGAACCUUACCAACACUUGACAUGUUCGUCGCGACUUUAAGAGAUUAAAGUUUUCGGUUCGGCCGGACGAAACACAGGUGCUGCAUGGCUGUCGUCAGCUCGUGUCGUGAGAUGUUGGGUUAAGUCCCGCAACGAGCGCAACCCUCACUUUUAGUUGCCAUCAUUAAGUUGGGCACUCUGAAAGAACUGCCAGUGAUAAGCUGGAGGAAGGUGGGGAUGACGUCAAGUCCUCAUGGCCCUUACGUGUUGGGCUACACACGUGCUACAAUGGUAUCUACAACAGGAAGCAAGACUGCGAAGUUAAGCAAAUCCUUAAAAGAUACCUCAGUUCGGAUUGCACUCUGCAACUCGAGUGCAUGAAGCUGGAAUUACUAGUAAUCGUGGAUCAGCGUGCCACGGUGAAUGCGUUCCCGGGUCUUGUACACACCGCCCGUCACACCAUGGGAGUUGGUUCUACCUUAAGGCAAGGUUUCAAACCCUUGACCACGGUAUAGUCAGCGACUGGGGUGAAGUCGUAACAAGGUAGCCGUAA